rnacentral:rRNA from 1 species
AAUGAACGUUGGCGGCGUGGAUUAGGCAUGCAAGUCGAGCGGAAAGGCCCGCAAGGGCACUCGAGCGGCGUAAGGGACAGUAAUGUGUAGGUAACGUACCCCUGGGUCUAGGAUAGCUGCGGGAAACUGCAAUUAAUACUAGAUAACGUCUCCGGACCAAAGGUGUGAUUCCACCUGGGGAGCGGCCUACAUCCUAUUAGCUAGUUGGCGAGGUAAUGGCUCACCAAGGCGAAGAUGGGUAGCAGGUGUGAGAGCACGACCUGCGUCACUGGGACUGAGACACUGCCCAGACACCUACGGGUGGCUGCAGUCGAGAAUCUUCGGCAAUGGGCGAAAGCCUGACCGAGCGACGCCGCGUGUGGGAUGAAGGCCUUCGGGUUGUAAACCACUGUCGGAGGGGAUGAAGUGUUAGUGGGUUCUCCCAUUAACUUGACUGAUCCUCGGAGGAAGGGUGGGCUAAGUUCGUGCCAGCCGCCGCAGUAAUAC